CCUACGGGUGGCAGCAGUGGGGAAUAUUGGACAAUGGGGGCAACCCUGAUCCAGCCAUGCCGCGUGUGUGAAGAAGGCCCUCGGGUUGUAAAGCACUUUCAGUGAGGAAGAACGCCUGGUGGUUAAUACCCAUCAGGAAAGACAUCACUCACAGAAGAAGCACCGGCUAACUCCGUGCCAGCAGCCGCGGUAAUACGGAGGGUGCGAGCGUUAAUCGGAAUUACUGGGCGUAAAGCGCGCGUAGGUGGCUUGAUAAGCCGGUUGUGAAAGCCCCGGGCUCAACCUGGGAACGGCAUCCGGAACUGUCAAGCUAGAGUGCAGGAGAGGAAGGUAGAAUUCCCGGUGUAGCGGUGAAAUGCGUAGAGAUCGGGAGGAAUACCAGUGGCGAAGGCGGCCUUCUGGACUGACACUGACACUGAGGUGCGAAAGUGUGGGUAGCAAACAGGAUUAGAUACCCUAGUAGUC
rnacentral:rRNA from 1 species